AGUCGAACGGUAACGCGGGGCAACCUGUCGACGAGUGGCGAACGGGUGAGUAAUAUAUCAGAACAUACCCUAGAGUGGGGGAUAACGUAGCGAAAGUUACGCUAAUACCGCAUACUAACUCAGGUUGAAAGUGGGGGAUCGCAAGACCUCAUGCUCAUGGAGUGGCCGAUAUCUGAUUAGCUAGGUGGUAGGGUAAAAGCCUACCAAGGCGACGAUCAGUAUCUGGUCUGAGAGGACGACCCCCCACACUGGAACUGAGACACGGUCCACACUCCUACGGGAGGCAGCAGUGGGGAAUUUUGGACAAUGGGCACAAGCCUGAUCCACCAAUGCCGCGUGAGAGAAAAAAGCCUUCCGGUUGUAAAGCUCUUUUGUCAGGGAAAAAACGGUGGUUCCUAAUACGGACUACUAAUGACGGCACCUGAAGAAUAAUCACCGGCUAACUACGUGCCAGCAGCCGCGGUAAUACGUAGGGUGCAAGCGUUAAUCAGAAUUACUGGGCGUAAAGCGUGCGCAUGCGGUUAUAUAAGUCAGAUGUGAAAUCCCCGGUCUCAACCUGGGAACUGCAUUUGAGACUGUAUGGCUAGAGUGUGUCAGAGGGGGGUAGAAUUCCACGUGUAGCAGUGAAAUGCGUAGAUAUGUGGAGGAAUACCGAUGGCGAAGGCAGCCCCCUGGGAUAACACUGACGCUCAUGCACGAAAGCGUGAGGAGCAAACAGGAUUAGAUACCCUGGUAGUCCACGCCCUAUACGAUGUCUACUAGUUGUCGGGACUUAAUUGUCUUGGUAACGCAUCUAACGCGUGAAGUAGACCGGCUGGAGAGUACGGUCACAAGAUAAAACUCACGGAAUUGACGGAGACCCGCACAAGCGGUGGAUGAUGUGGAUUAAUUCGAUGCACCGCGAAAAACCUUACCUACCCUUG
rnacentral:rRNA from 1 species